UGCGCGCGCCCGUGUGCGCGGGGCUUGCUCCCGAGCCGGGUGUCUCGGUUCGGGACGCCGCAGCCCCGCGGCCUCGCUUCUCUGUCCCCGCUCUGCCCCUGCCGCCGAGGCUGACGUGAUCCCGGUGACAGAAUGACACAGUUUCUGUGAGCCCGUGACUGCAUCAGAAGCUCUUCCACUUUUGAUUUGUUUAAAUCGGCCAUGUUUGCCGAGUGCUUCAGGUUGGGCUGGGAAAGACAGCGCUGUGCGCUGCUCGGGGGGUAGGAGCGGCCGGGCAGGUGAGUAACCGCUGUGAUCUCACCUCGCUCAUGCACAGGGACACAGGGUUUUCCCGGCGCUGGGAGAGGGAACGCACGGCUGCUUUUUAUCUAUUUACCCUUCUCUAGCUUGCUGACAUUUGCAUAACACUGCUAACAGGCAAAUUACUCAAAGGAACUUCGGCUCAAUGCAAAUAAGCCGAGAAUGCAUUUCACUGGGAGGAAAGCAAAACUCGGCAGCCUGCCUUCUCCCGAGGGUGCCUUCUCCCCGCCGGUGCCCUGCCUGGCGGGACGGGCUCCGCACAGCCCGCUCGUACUCUCGCUGCACUCUGUGGCUGCUUUUGCAAACACCGACAUCGCCGUCCUCGUCCGAAGAACAAUAACCUCCCACCGCGGGGACGCGGUCCGGUGGGGACCCGCCGUGCUGCGCUGCGAGCGGCCACCGGCGCCGCGUCCCCGGGCCGCUCCCGGGCGCACGGUGCCCGCGGCGGGGCAGACUCGCCCGCUUCCGGAGUGCGGAGCCUCCGCCGGGCUGGCUGCGUCUGGCGGAUGUCUUGUUCAGCCCCUCUUCCUGAUUCCUUUGUUGCUAGAAACGCCGAAAUCCUAGUCCAUUCCAGGUUUCCCUCCGCGCUUAAAAGGGAGUAGGGGGUUCUGUGGCGCGGUGCCACGGCUCCCUUGAGCACACCCAACGCUAGCAGCGAUGCGGCACCGAGCAGGAAAGAUACCUUCCAUUCGCUUCAAAACUCACACGACAGAAAGUUGUUGCUUUAAAUAAUUCGUUUCUUAUCGCCACUGCAUCUCAUUUCCAUUUUUAGUUGUCUAAAACGUUUUAUAUGGCCUGGUUAUAAUUUGUUAAACUGACAAACGAAUUUGAUAUGGAUGUGAGUGGAAUUAUUUUACAGGGAAGGCUUAAGGAAAUGCAUAUGCUGAAGUUACAGAAAUGGUAGGACCAAAUAAAAUCCAGUAACAAAAUAAA